rnacentral:rRNA from 1 species
CACGUAGGGUGCGAGCGUUGUCCGGAAUUAUUGGGCGUAAAGAGCUCGUAGGCGGCUCGUCGCGUCGACCGUGAAAACCCGCGGCUUAACUGCGGGCUUGCGGUUGAUACGGGCGGGCUAGAGUUCGGUAGGGGAGACUGGAAUUCCUGGUGUAGCGGUGAAAUGCGCAGAUAUCAGGAGGAACACCGGAGGCGAAGGCGGGUCUCUGGGCCGAUACUGACGCUGAGGAGCGAAAGCGUGGGGAGCGAACAGG